rnacentral:rRNA from 1 species
UUCCAGCUCCAAUAGCAUAUAUUAAAGUUGUUGCAGUUAAAAAGCUCGUAGUUGGAUUUCUGGCAUGAUGCGCCUGGCCCGCCGUGAUUACGCGUGUGUGUGCUAGUGCGCGUCUGCCAUCCAUUGGCAGAAUAUGUCUACCCUUAAUUGGGCCGGAUAUGUGAUGUCAAUCUUUUACUUUGAAAAAAUUAGAGUGUUUAAAGCAGGCAUUUGCUAUGAAUACAUUUGCAUGGAAUAAUAAUCUAGGACUUCGGUUCUAUUUUGUUGGUUUCUAGAUCUGGAGUAAUGAUUGAUAGGGAUAGUUGGGGGUGCUAGUAUUAAGGGGCCAGAGGUGAAAUUCUUGGAUUCUCUUAAGACUAACUUAUGCGAAAGCAUUCACCAAGGAUGUCUUCAUUA